rnacentral:sRNA from 1 species
GCUGGGUGUGUUGGCACAUGCCUGUAAUCCCAGUGUUCAGGAGGCUGAGGUAGUUGGAUCACUAGUUUGAGGUCAGUCUCAGCAACUCAACAAGGCCCUAAGCAACUUAGUGAGAAUUUGUCUCAA